rnacentral:tRNA from 1 species
GGCCUGGUGGUCUAGUAGUAUGAUUCCUUCUUAGGGCUUAAUUGCCUAAUUUGGAGGAGGUCCCGGGUUCAAUUCCCGGCCAGGCCC